CUACGUGCCAGCAGCCGCGGUAAUACGUAGGUCCCGAGCGUUGUCCGGAUUUAUUGGGCGUAAAGCGAGCGCAGGCGGUUAGAUAAGUCUGAAGUUAAAGGCUGUGGCUUAACCAUAGUACGCUUUGGAAACUGUUUAACUUGAGUGCAAGAGGGGAGAGUGGAAUUCCAUGUGUAGCGGUGAAAUGCGUAGAUAUAUGGAGGAACACCGGUGGCGAAAGCGGCUCUCUGGCUUGUAACUGACGCUGAGGCUCGAAAGCGUGGGGAGCAAACAGGAUUAGAUACCCUGGUAGUCCACGCCGUAAACGAUGAGUGCUAGGUGUUAGACCCUUUCCGGGGUUUAGUGCCGUAGCUAACGCAUUAAGCACUCCGCCUGGGGAGUACGACCGCAAGGUUGAAACUCAAAGGAAUUGACGGGGGCCCGCACAAGCGGUGGAGCAUGUGGUUUAAUUCGAUGCAACGCGAAGAACCUUACCAGGCCU
rnacentral:rRNA from 1 species